rnacentral:piRNA from 1 species
UCAUUAUCAAAGUCCCGGAUUAGUGGUGU